GCUAUUCUCUCCAGAGCGGCGCGGAGAGAAGCUCAUCGCACACAGUGCACCUUCACCGCCUCACCGGAUGGGCUGCUCAUUCAGAGCCCCAACACUCAGCUCUCCUUUUUGAAAGAAAAAAAAAAUAAACUAAACGUCAAACAUUACUGAGUAAACAUUUUGACGCGACUUGAUGUUCUACAGAACCGAUGCGUGAGGAAAUGUCGAGUGUGGUGUGUGUGAAGGAGAUGGAGGGGCAGGGUGACCCUGCAGAAAAGCUGUCCCAGGAUGAGCUGCUGUGUCGGACACGGGAGGUGAUGCAGGGGUUGGAGGCUCUGCGUGCUGAACACCAGGCCAUCCUCGAGGGUCUGAUGGGAACGCUGCGUUGCCUCAAACAAACCCAGGAAGGCCGUGCUGUAGAAGAAAAGACUGUCAUGAUUCAACGCUCACUGGAAAUGCUAGAGCUCGGUCUGAGUGAAGCGCAGGUAAUGAUGGCUCUUUCAGGGCACCUGAGCGCAGUAGAGGCUGAGAAACAGAAGCUUCGUGCACAGGUCCGGCGGCUGUGCCAGGAGAAUCAGUGGCUGCGUGAUGAGCUGGCAGGAACACAGCAGCGACUGCAGAAGAGUGAGCAGAGCGUGGCCCAGCUGGAGGAGGAAAAGAAGCACCUGGAGUUCAUGAAUCAGCUAAAAAAAUAUGACCAAGACCUCAGCCCAACAGAUGACAAAGACUCUGACUCGAGCAGAGAGACUCUGGAUGAUCUCUUCCCUGAUGAUCAGGAUGAGCCAGCCUCUGGCAUCCAGCCUACACACAGCAGUGCUGUAGCAGCAGCUCAGCAGGGAGGCUAUGAGAUUCCAGCCCGGCUCCGAACCCUGCACAACCUCGUGAUCCAGUAUGCUUCUCAGGGCCGUUAUGAGGUGGCCGUGCCACUGUGUAAACAGGCACUGGAGGACUUGGAAAAGACCUCAGGCCACAACCACCCUGAUGUUGCAACAAUGCUCAACAUUCUCGCCCUUGUCUACAGGGACCAGAAUAAGUACAAAGAGGCUGCAAACCUUCUGAAUGACGCACUCGAUAUCAGAGAGAAAACACUGGGCAAAGACCAUCCUGCGGUGGCCGCUACACUGAAUAAUUUGGCUGUCCUUUAUGGUAAGCGUGGGAAAUACAAAGAGGCAGAACCACUAUGCAAAAGAGCACUGGAGAUCAGAGAAAAGGUGCUAGGGAAGGACCACCCAGAUGUGGCAAAGCAGCUGAAUAACUUGGCUUUGCUGUGUCAGAACCAGGGCAAGUAUGAGGAGGUGGAAUAUUACUACCAGAGAGCGCUUAAAAUCUAUCAGACCAAGCUGGGCCCUGAUGACCCCAAUGUAGCCAAGACCAAAAACAAUCUGGCCUCAUGUUAUCUGAAGCAAGGGAAGUUUAAGCAAGCAGAGACUCUCUAUAAAGAGAUCCUAACACGAGCGCAUGAGAGGGAGUUUGGCUCUGUAGAUGGUGAGAACAAGCCUAUCUGGAUGCAUGCAGAGGAGAGAGAGGAACAGAGUAAAGGGAAGCAGAAAGAUGGCUCCCCAUUUGUAGAGUAUGGUGGUUGGUACAAGGCCUGCAAAGUGGACAGCCCAACUGUAACAACCACACUGAAGAACCUGGGUGCACUGUACAGGCGGCAGGGCAAGUUUGAGGCUGCUGAGACUCUGGAGGAGGCUGCGAUGCGCUCCAAAAAAAAGGGUCUGGAUUCAACCAAUAAACAGCGUGUGGCUGAGGUUCUGGGGGAUCCAGAGGCUCGGGAGAAGCAGAGCAGCAGAGAGAGUCUAAUCUCUGACACGGUGAAGUACGAGAGUGGCCCAGAUGGGGGAGAGGAAGUGUAACUCCAGGUGCCUUGUUGUGGUUGUUGAACUUAUCUUCAGCAUGAUGGACACUCGCCUCACUUCACUCUGCACCUUUGUCCUUUUCCGUCUGCUCUCUCCGACUGGCUCCUUUCUUCGUCCUCCUGCUAAACCUCAUCUGGGCUCUAGCUGGCCAAAGAAGCUCAGAUAGGCUUAAACAUGGCUUUUUCUCUUUGUCAGAGCUGACUCAUAUGUGGCACUGUAGAACAAUUAUAUAUAUUUCCUUGAUACUAACGACACAGGAACCGCUCUUGAUCUAUUUAACUGUCUUUACUCUCUGUGUAUCUGUCUGUCAAUCUAAAAACACUCUUACGUACUGACUUGUACAGAUUUGUGAUUGUGUGGUGUUAACACUACUGUGGUGCCUCUUGCAUUGCUCUCGUAUGUAGUCAAUGUUCCGUUUGUCCGAAUUUAAACUCCCUUCCACACGGCACCAGAGUGAAAAUCCUUUUCUGCUAAUUUAGAUCUUACAGUGAUAAUGCAUGUUUAGAAUAGUAUGCAGAUCAUGUAUAAUAUUAAUCUGAUGGUCAAUGCAGACCAUCACACUAUAUAUAUGAUGACCUAAGGCAAGAACUGAUGGUAAUUUUGCUUAACACUCAUGGACAUGACACAUAACUCAAAUUGUGUCCUACUGCUUCUGUUCUAAUAUGGACAUAAGCCACCUUUAAUCUAUUCCACUGGACUCACAAAUCUUUUUUUUCAUACCCUUGUACAAGUCUUAUAUGUAUUUGUUUCUCAUUUACUCUCCCUGCUUCUGCCAGCCCCCUCAGUGGGCUUUAACUUUAAUUCUGAGUGCUUAAUCUGGGACUCACACUAAUGGCAGCAGGCAGAGUUUUUCACUCAUUUGAGUAUCUUCAUGACAUCUAUUUUGUGUGAUGUACAGAUCUGUGUUUAUCCAGUAACCCACACAUUGAUGCUCACUUUCUGUCCCUUUCUAAUUCACAUCUUUUUCACUUCUCCAUCUAUCAGUAAAAAAGAAACUAGACAGCCAAGCUCCCUGUACAGUAGCAUGAUUAUAUCUUUUGAACUGCUGUCUAAACUUGGUGUACAGUACUGCCUAUUGUUCCCUUUUCUACUUAAUGGGUCCUGUAGGUGGUGCCUGAUGGAUAGACAAAAAGAGAAAAUGUAAGGAGUAGAUAAGUAGAAAAAAGAGAAACAAAUGAAACGAACAGGGACGUGUUUUGGCAGUUGUAUGCACAUCUUUUCCUAUUAGUCUGCUAUCUGAUGAUGCUGCAUCUUGUCUUUCCUAACUCUAAUAAAACUGACUGUGUGCUUACCACAGCUUUUGCCUGUUUCCUUGUAUGUCUCCAUACCUAUGUGCAAGUCAUCUCUUACACUACUCUUGUGCAACUUGACCUGUGUGUGUGUCUGUGUGUGUGUGUGUCUGUUAUUAAAUGCAAUUAAUUAUAAUUAGUUUGGUGGUGGUGGUCAAUUUUUUUGUUUUGUGUCAGUGCUCUGUCUUUCUUGACCUGUACUUUUUGUAUAUCUUGGGUCAUUUCCUUCACACCUUACUCGGCUGUUUGGAUAAGGAGAAGUGCUCAGGGCACACAACAGAGGAGACUGCAGCAGAGCGAAGAGGGGAUGGCUCAGGCUCGUUGAAGCGCAGUGGCUCCUUCAGUAAACUCCGAGCCUCGAUUCGCCGGAGCAGCGAGAAACUCGUCCGCAAACU